GUAGUAUUCCCUCCGUCUCAAAAUUCUUGUCUUACAUUUGUUUAGGUACGGAUGUAUCUAACACUAAAAUGUAACUAGAUACAUCCGUAUUUAGACAAAUUUAAGACAAGAAUUUUGGGACGGAGGGAGUACAAA
rnacentral:pre_miRNA from 1 species